rnacentral:rRNA from 1 species
UAGAGUUUGAUCAUGGCUCAGGAUGAACGCUAGCGACAGGCUUAACACAUGCAAGUCGAGGGGCAGCGGGGAGGUAGCAAUACUUCCGCCGGCGACCGGCGCACGGGUGAGUAACACGUAUGGAACCUGCCCGUAGCAGGGGGAUAAGCGGAAGAAAUUCCGUCUAAUACCGCGUAAUAACUCCGAGAGGCAUCUCCUGGGGUUUAAAGGGUAACACCGGCUACGGAUGGCCAUGCGGCGCAUUAGCUAGUUGGCGGGGUAACGGCCCACCAAGGCGACGAUGCGUAGGGGUUCUGAGAGGAAGGUCCCCCACACUGGUACUGAGACACGGACCAGACUCCUACGGGAGGCAGCAGUGAGGAAUAUUGGUCAAUGGGCGCGAGCCUGAACCAGCCAAGUCGCGUGAGGGAAGACGGUCCUAUGGAUUGUAAACCUCUUUUGUCGGGGAGCAAAAGACGCCACGCGUGACGUUCCGAGAGUACCCGAAGAAAAAGCAUCGGCUAACUCCGUGCCAGCAGCCGCGGUAAUACGGAGGAUGCGAGCGUUAUCCGGAUUUAUUGGGUUUAAAGGGUGCGCAGGCGGAAGAUCAAGUCAGCGGUAAAAUUGAGAGGCUCAACCUCUUCGAGCCGUUGAAACUGGUUUUCUUGAGUGAGCGAGAAGUAUGCGGAAUGCGUGGUGUAGCGGUGAAAUGCAUAGAUAUCACGCAGAACUCCGAUUGCGAAGGCAGCAUACCGGCGCUCAACUGACGCUCAUGCACGAAAGUGUGGGUAUCGAACAGGAUUAGAUACCCUGGUAGUCCACACAGUAAACGAUGAAUACUAAUUGUUCGGGGAGAAUGAUCCC